rnacentral:rRNA from 1 species
GACGAACGCUGGCGGCGUGCCUAAUACAUGCAAGUAGAACGCUGAAGGAGGAGCUUGCUUCUCUGGAUGAGUUGCGAACGGGUGAGUAACGCGUAGGUAACCUGCCUGGUAGCGGGGGAUAACUAUUGGAAACGAUAGCUAAUACCGCAUAAUAGUAGAUGUUGCAUGACAUUUGCUUAAAAGGUGCAAUUGCAUCACUACCAGAUGGACCUGCGUUGUAUUAGCUAGUUGGUGGGGUAACGGCUCACCAAGGCGACGAUACAUAGCCGACCUGAGAGGGGGGUCGGCCCCACUGGGACUGGGACACGGCCCAGACUCCUACGGGAGGCAGCAGUAGGGAAUCUUCGGCAAUGGACGGAAGUCUGACCGAGCAACGCCGCGUGAGUGGAGAAGGUUUUCGGAUCGUAAAGCUCUGUUGUAAGAGAAGAACGAGUGUGAGAGUGGAAAGUUCACACUGUGACGGUAUCUUACCAGAAAGGGACGGCUAACUACGUG